rnacentral:rRNA from 1 species
CGGCUUCUUCAGUUCGGCUGGCUGGAACACAGGUGCUGCAUGGCUGUCGUCAGCUCGUGUCGUGAGAUGUUGGGUUAAGUCCCGCAACGAGCGCAACCCUCAUCUUCAGUUGCCAUCAGGUUAAGCUGGGCACUCUGAAGGAACUGCCGGUGACAAGCCGGAGGAAGGCGGGGAUGACGUCAAGUCCUCAUGGCCUUUAUGGGCUGGGCUACACACGUGCUACAAUGGCGGUGACAGAGGGACGCGAAGGGGCAACCCUUGGCCAAUCUCAAAAAGCCGUCUCAGUUCGGAUUGUCCUCUGCAACUCGAGGGCAUGAAGCUGGAAUCGCUAGUAAUCGCGGAUCAGCACGCCGCGGUGAAUACGUUCCCGGGCCUUGUACACACCGCCCGUCACACCAUGGGAGUUGGUUUUACCCGAAGGCGCUGCGCCAACCGCAAGGAGGCAGGCGACCACGGUAAGGUCAGCGACUGGGGUGAAGUCGUAACAAGGUAACCGUAA